AUUAUAUUAUAUACCGCCAAAAAAAAAAAAUAAACGUGAAAAACGGACAUCCGCGAUUUAAAUAUCAAUUGUUUGUUCGGCGAAACUGAAACUUUACAAUUGCAACACCGCUAUCUAUGUUCCAAUAAAUUCUAAAGCUCCAGCUCGAUCGGAAAUACUCUAGACGUAUGAUAUUAUGAUGACACGUCGGCCGGUGAGCGAGUCAGUGGGUCAGCCAGUCUCCGAACUUAUUGUGAUUUUCGGACACAAUAGUAUUUUGGAGACGUAGACGUACGACAUUCGCGAGAUACUGCUUCCGUCCGGCGCCUAACCUAACUCGGACGAAUUCAAUCCUGUCACAUAACUACCCUCAUAAUAAUACGUCCACUUUAUAAUAUAAUAUUAUAGCGGCGUCGAAAUGCAGGUUCGUGUAAAUAUAAUUGUGCUCGGAUUGGGGCGGCCGUUAGUACAUUGUUCUAUUACAAUUAUAGCGGCCUGUUUCAGUAAAAUCCGACGGGAAUAGUAAUAAUUUCUACACGAGACCUAUCAGGUAAAAAAAAUACAUAUGUUAGUUCCUACAACGUAAAAAAUGGUAGGUUAAACAGAGAAUUGUAUUCGUUGUGAAGUUUGCUGAGGCUGCAUUUUUGGUAGAAAAUCAAAAAAUAAUUCAAUAAUAAUAUAAUAGUAUGGAUAAGGGGCGAUAAUAUAAUCGCGCUCGUUUCAACCGUUAUACUUGUUAGUAUAUCUAUGACGAUAAGUUACCGAUAAAGCAGACAUCUAAAUUCAAUUUUUGAACACACGCACACACAUUUGCGACUUUUCAUUA